rnacentral:rRNA from 1 species
AGUGAGGAAUAUUGGACAAUGGGCGAGAGCCUGAUCCAGCCAUGCCGCGUGCAGGAAGACUGCCCUAUGGGUUGGAAACUGCUUUUAUACAGGAAGAAUAAGCCUUACGUGUAAGGUGAUGACGGUACUGUAAGAAUAAGGACCGGCUAACUCCGUGCCAGCAGCCGCGGUAAUACGGAGGGUCCGAGCGUUAUCCGGAAUUAUUGGGUUUAAAGGGUCCGUAGGCGGAUGAUUAAGUCAGGGGUGAAAGUUUGCAGCUCAACUGUAAAAUUGCCUUUGAUACUGGUCAUCUUGAGUUGUAUUGAAGUAGGCGGAAUAUGUAGUGUAGCGGUGAAAUGCAUAGAUAUUACAUAGAACACCAAUUGCGAAGGCAGCUUACUAAGUACUAACUGACGCUGAUGGACGAAAGCGUGGGUAGGGAACAGGA